rnacentral:rRNA from 4 species
AGACCCGAAACCCGGUGAUCUAGCCAUGGGCAGGUUGAAGGUUGGGUAACACUAACUGGAGGACCGAACCGACUAAUGUUGAAAAAUUAGCGGAUGACCUGUGGCUGGGGGUGAAAGGCCAAUCAAACCGGGAGAUAGCUGGUUCUCCCCGAAAGCUAUUUAGGUAGCGCCUCGUGAAUUCAUCUCCGGGGGUAGAGCACUGUUUCGGCUAGGGGGCCAUCCCGGCUUACCAACCCGAUGCAAACUGCGAAUACCGGAGAAUGUUAUCACGGGAGACACACGGCGGGUGCUAACGUCCGUCGUGAAGAGGGAAACAACCCAGACCGCCAGCUAAGGUCCCAAAGUCAUGGUUAAGUGGGAAACGAUGUGGGAAGGCCCAGACAGCCAGGAUGUUGGCUUAGAAGCAGCCAUCAUUUAAAGAAAGCGUAAUAGCUCACUGGUCGAGUCGGCCUGCGCGGAAGAUGUAACGGGGCUAAACCAUGCACCGAAGCUGCGGCAGCGACACUCAGGUGUUGUUGGGUAGGGGAG